rnacentral:rRNA from 1 species
CCUACGGGAGGCAGCAGUGGGGGAUAUUGCACAAUGGGGGGAACCCUGAUGCAGCGACGCCGCGUGGGUGAAGAAGCGCCUCGGCGCGUAAAGCCCUGUCAGCAGGGAAGAAAAUGACGGUACCUGAAGAAGAAGCCCCGGCUAACUACGUGCCAGCAGCCGCGGGAAUACGUAGGGGGCAAGCGUUAUCCGGAUUUACUGGGUGUAAAGGGGGCGCAGACGGCGAUGCAAGCCAGGAGUGAAAGCCCGGGGCCCAACCCCCGGAGUGCUCUUGGAACUGCGUGGCUGGAGUGCAGGAGGGGCAGGCGGAAUUCCUGGUGUAGCGGUGAAAUGCGUAGAUAUCAGGAGGAACACCGGUGGCGAAGGCGGCCUGCUGGACUGCAACUGACGUUGAGGCCCGAAAGCGUGGGGAGCAAACAGGAUUAGAUACCCUGGUAGUC